AGGGGCCGCUCACGGUGCUAGCACACCAUGAUGGUCGACCCAACCUGUGUCAUUAAGAAACCAGGAGGGAAGGACUUGCAUGUCACUCGGGGGGAAAUAGUGGAAAUCAUCCAGCUCACCGACGACAAGAAGGUUUUUAGUCGCAACGCCCUCAGGAAAAUAUGGUUAUGUGCUCCGAUCCUAUCUCCUUUCAAUGGAAGGAGACAUUUAUGAUGAUGUUGAUGCACUUGAUGUUUACGACAAUGAUCCUACAUACUGAUGUUGAGAUAAUUCACAUGCUUACAGAGAAAGAAGAAACGCUGUACAAAGAAACCUAACUGAAGCUAUGUAGGACCACAGCUAAACUGAAAAACGAUUCACAAAAAUUUUACGAAAUCAAGAAAUGAUAGAGGUUCUAUACAUUUGAAUGCUGUUCAAACUGGAUAUUCACUCCCAGCUGUCAAACUAAGUUGCAGAAAAACUCAAACUAAAUGCAGUCAAACUGACAUUGAUAGAAGGUAUCACACCUUACAUGUCACUUCAUUCCACUUCAGACACUCACUCACACACACACACACACACACACACACACACACACACACACACACACACCACACACACACACAGCAGAGAUAAAGUAAGAUCCUGUGCUAGAAAUAACAGACAUAUCAUCACUGCUAUUAAUACUGAACUGCUUGUAUAGGAAUAAAUAAAUACACUAUUGCAAUUGCAUUUUAUAUUUCACAGGCCCUGAGAUAAUUUGGCAUAAAGUAAAUAUUUUUCUGUCCUGAGUCAUCUUCCCAUUUUUUUUUUAAUGAAAGCCUUUGUCAGAUUUGUUUAAGUUUGUGAAAUGUUUUAAAACUGAUUAAAUGUUGUAUGAAAAUAAACUGGACCACAUAAGCUG